rnacentral:lncRNA from 1 species
GUGAGCCAAGAUCACACCAUUGCACUCCAGCCUAGGCAUGUUUAUGCAAAUACCGUAUACGUGAUAAACGUCCCUACAACAUGAUCUUUGGAAUGAACUAAGACAAAGGAAACUCUGAGGAAGGACCAUGGCCUGAGAGGUGGAAUUCAUCCUUCCGAGGACUGAGAUGAGGACGGAAAAUGAACCAUCGGGGGGAUUGACGGUGAAGAUGCUAAUACCUGCCCAGCAUCGACCCUAGUGCGGGUCCCAAGACCAUCCCCCUGUGCAGGCUCCACCACCGCUGUGCUAACUGGACCGCGGCAGAACAGUGUGGGUGUGUGCCAGGUUCCUGCUGGGCCCUGCAGCUCCUCCCCCCAGCCCCAUGUGAUGUGCCCCUGGCCAUUGACACUCAGUUCGAGGGAAGGCACUGGGGUGUACACUCAAAGACCUAAACCCAGGGUGGGUGCGGUGG